CGCCUAGAAUUAAAGCGAUUUUUAGCCUC
rnacentral:piRNA from 1 species